rnacentral:tRNA from 1 species
ACCUGGCUGGCUCAGUGGUGGAGCAUGUGACCCUUGAUCUUAGGUUGUGGGUUUGAGUCCCAUGUGGGGUA